GGGGGUAUAGUUAACUAAUAACAUUUAAUUUGCAAUUAAAAAGUACUAUAAAGUUACCCUCG
rnacentral:tRNA from 1 species